UACGUAGGGCGCAAGCGUUGUCCGGAAUUAUUGGGCGUAAAGAGCUCGUAGGCGGCCUGUUGCGUCCGCUGUGAAAUCCCGGGGCUUAACCCCGGGCUUGCAGUGGAUACGGGCAGGCUGGAGGCAGGCAGGGGAGAACGGAAUUCCCGGUGUAGCGGUGGAAUGCGCAGAUAUCAGGAGGAACACCGGUGGCGAAGGCGGCGACCUGGUCCGACACUGACGCUGAGGCGCGAAAGCGUGGGGAGCAAACAGG
rnacentral:rRNA from 1 species